rnacentral:rRNA from 1 species
GACGAACGCUGGCGGCGCGCCUAACACAUGCAAGUCGAACGAGAGAUGAAGAGCUUGCUCUUCAAAUCGAGUGGCGAACGGGUGAGUAACGCGUGAGGAACCUGCCUCAAAGAGGGGGACAACAGUUGGAAACGACUGCUAAUACCGCAUAAGCCCACGGCUCGGCAUCGAGCAGAGGGAAAAGGAGCGAUCCGCUUUGAGAUGGCCUCGCGUCCGAUUAGCUAGUUGGUGAGGUAACGGCCCACCAAGGCGACGAUCGGUAGCCGGACUGAGAGGUUGAACGGCCACAUUGGGACUGAGACACGGCCCAGACUCCUACGGGAGGCAGCAGUGGGGAAUAUUGCACAAUGGGGGAAACCCUGAUGCAGCGACGCCGCGUGGAGGAAGAAGGUCUUCGGAUUGUAAACUCCUGUUCGUUGAGGAAGAUAAAUGACGGUACUCAACAAGGAAGUGACGGCUAACACGUGCCAGCAG